UAGAUACCCUGGUAGUCACGCCGUAAACGAUGAGUGCUAAGUGUUGGAGGGUUUCCGCCCUUCAGUGCUGCAGCAAACGCAUUAAGCACUCCGCCUGGGGAGUACGACCGCAAGGUUGAAACUCAAAGGAAUUGACGGGGGCCCGCACAAGCGGUGGAGCAUGUGGUUUAAUUCGAAGCAACGCGAAGAACCUUACCAGGUCUUGACAUCCUUUGACCACUCUAGAGAUAGAGCUUUCCCUUCGGGGACAAAGUGACAGGU
rnacentral:rRNA from 1 species